rnacentral:tRNA from 1 species
GCCAUCAUAGCUCAGUGGCAGAGCACUGGUCUUGUAAACCGGGGGUCAUGAGUUCGAUCCUCACUGGUUGCU